CCCUCAAAUUCAGGAUCUGAAUUGUCCCAAAGAACUACAAGUGCGCCCCGAACUGCCCCAGGUCUAAAGUCCCCGCUUCUACAGAGCACCCAUCUCUUCCUGUCCCUCGCACCCCAAAACCCGAGAUCUGAGACCUGGCGCCCGUCGAGGCCGCCCCGCCCCCGGGAGGAGCGCGGGAUCCGCCCGCACCUCCGCGGAGAGCAGGCAGCGCUGGAACUCAGAGCAGGGGCGCCCGCGUAAAUUACGCAGAGGGGCACAGACCCCGCUUCCGCGCCCCCCGCCACGCCGCUCUGGCCCGCAUAGCCUGGAGGGAUUAAGGCUCUUCCCAACAGCUCAGACCCGAGUCCCCUCCUAGGACCGCAGGGGACCCAUCCCCACACCUUCCUGUCAGGGAGGCGGGGUGCCCAGACCCCCACCUCCUUCUGCGGCCUCGGAGACCCAGAUCUGCACCGCUCCUCAGGCCGCCGGAGACCCCGAUCUGCGCGCCUUCCUCGGGCCUCCGGGGUGACCCGACCCGCGUCCCCUUCUCAGGCCAGCGAGGACGCACACCAAUUUCUCUAGCCUCCAGAAGGCGAACUGGCUCACAUCUCCUGCUCGGGCCAAGGCCACUGAGAAGCACUGGGACCCGCGCCUCUUCCCCAGGCCGCGGGGACCCAGACCUGGCGCGCCAUCGCCUCCACCCGGGCAGCCCGGCCGGCGCCCCCUCCCCAGGCCGCGGGGAAACGCAGCCCGCGCGCCCGCACCCUCCCCGGCUGCCCGCGGGCCCAGCCCCUCACUCACCCAGAGCUCGAUGCCCCAGCUCAUGGUGCAGGGGGCGGGAAGGGGCGCUCCGCGCGGCGGGCGCGGCUCUCCAGUCCCCUCCCCGGCGAUCGCUUCGCCCCUUGAGACCCCCGCGACUGCGGAAAGCCCGGUGUCCGAGCGGCCGCCUCCUCGUCCGGCUCGCAGCUCCUAGCCCCGAGUCUCCGCGGCGGCUUCUCCUCUCUCCGUCGCUCCACAGCAAAAUGGCCCGAGGAAGCAGCAGCAGCCGCCGCAGCGCCCGCCCGCCCCACACCGGAGAGCGAGGGGAGGGGGAGGGGCG
rnacentral:lncRNA from 1 species